UACAGAGGUCUCAAGCGUUGUUCGGAUUCAUUGGGCGUAAAGGGUGCGUAGGCGGCGCGGUAAGUCGGGUGUGAAAUCUCGGAGCUUAACUCCGAAACUGCAUUCGAUACUGCCGUGCUUGAGGACUGGAGAGGAGACUGGAAUUUACGGUGUAGCGGUGAAAUGCGUAGAUAUCGUAAGGAAGACCAGUGGCGAGGCGGGUCUCUGGACAGUUCCUGACGCUGAGGCACGAAGGUCAGGGGAGCAAACGGG
rnacentral:rRNA from 1 species